rnacentral:rRNA from 1 species
GUGCCAGCCGCCGCGGUAAUACGGAGGGUGCAAGCGUUGUCCGGAAUCACUGGGCGUAAAGGGUGCGCAGGCGGGGCAGCAAGUCGGAGGUGAAAGCCCGUGGCUCAACCACGGAAGUGCCUUCGAAACUGUUGCUCUUGAGUCCCGGAGAGGUUGCCGGAAUUCGUGGUGUAGCGGUGAAAUGCAUAGAUAUGCUACAGAACACCGAUAGCGAAAGCAGCUCACCAGACUACAACUGACGCUGAGGCACGAAAGCAUGGGUAGCAAACAGGAUUAGAUACCCCAGUAGUCC